UUAUGGCAAGAGCCCUGUACGAUAACGUCCCCGAAUGUGCAGAAGAGUUGGCCUUCCGCAAAGGAGACAUUUUGACAGUGAUUGAACAGAACACUGAAGGUCUUGAAGGAUGGUGGCUCUGCUCCUUACAUGGCCGGCAAGGCAUUGUUCCAGGCAACCGCGUGAAACUCCUGAUAGGUCCAGUGGUACAGGAUAUGUCCAACGCAGGAUUGAUGCAUCAAUCCUUCAACCAGCAAAAGAUCUAUCAAGUGCCAAGCUCACAUGCCUCAGCACGGGACCCUGUCUACCAAGUGCCACCUUCCCAGCUGAAUCAGGGAAUUUACCAAAUACCCACUGGUCACGGUGUAGUGGGACAUGAUGUUUACCAGGUGCCACCCUCCAUGCAGAGAUGUAUUGACAGUCCAGCUUUGACUAACAAG